ACGAGCGGCGAACGGGUGAGUAACACGUGGGUGAUCUGCCUUGCACUUCGGGAUAAGCCUGGGAAACUGGGUCUAAUACCGGAUAUGACCUCGGGAUGCAUGUUCUGGGGUGGAAAGAUUUAUCGGUGCGAGAUGGGCCCGCGGCCUAUCAGCUUGUUGGUGAGGUAACGGCUCACCAAGGCGACGACGGGUAGCCGACCUGAGAGGGUGACCGGCCACACUGGGACUGAGACACGGCCCAGACUCCUACGGGAGGCAGCAGUGGGGAAUAUUGCACAAUGGGCGAAAGCCUGAUGCAGCGACGCCGCGUGCGGGAUGACGGCCUUCGGGUUGUAAACCGCUUUUGACAGGGACGAAGCGCAAGUGACUGUACCUGUAGAAUAAGGACCGGCCAACUACGUGCCAGCAGCCGCGGUAAUACGUAGGGUCCGAGCGUUGUCCGGAAUUACUGGGCGUAAAGAGCUUGUAGGCGGUUCGUCGCGUCGUUUGUGAAAACUUGGGGCUCAACCUUAAGCUUGCAGGCGAUACGGGCGGACUAGAGUACUUCAGGGGAGACUGGAAUUCCUGGUGUAGCGGUGAAAUGCGCAGAUAUCAGGAGGAACACCGGUGGCGAAGGCGGGUCUCUGGGAAGUAACUGACGCUGAGAAGCGAAAGCAUGGGUAGCAAACAGGAUUAGAUACCCUGGUAGUCCAUGCCGUAA
rnacentral:rRNA from 1 species